rnacentral:rRNA from 1 species
GACGAACGCUGGCGGCGUGCUUAACACAUGCAAGUCGAACGGAAAGGCCCUGCUUUUGUGGGGUGCUCGAGUGGCGAACGGGUGAGUAACACGUGAGUAACCUGCCCUUGACUUUGGGAUAACUUCAGGAAACUGGGGCUAAUACCGGAUAGGAGCUCCUGCUGCAUGGUGGGGGUUGGAAAGUUUCGGCGGUUGGGGAUGUACUCGCGGCUUAUCAGCUUGUUGGUGGGGUAGUGGCUUACCAAGGCUUUGACGGGUAGCCGGCCUGAGAGGGUGACCGGCAACAUGGGGACUGAGAUACGGCCCAGACUCCUACGGGAGGCAGCAGUGGGGAAUAUUGCACAAUGGGCGGAAGCCUGAUGCAGCAACGCCGCGUGCGGGAUGACGGCCUUCGGGUUGUAAACCGCUUUCGCCUGUGACGAAGCGUGAGUGAAGGUAAUGUGUAAAGAAGCACCGGCUAACUACGUG